CACAGCCUUUAUGAAGUAGGAGCCGAAUCCCAUUUCCUUCCAGAAAAAUUAUUUACCUAUACUUAAUAAAGUGAUUUGAUUCAUCUGAAGGAAGUUUGUUGUAAGAGAAGGAUAUGGAAUUCAGCAAUAGGCAGACCUGAGUUUGAAAUACAGCUACACCGUUACUGACAAUGUAAUUUUGUGUUACAAUAAAAAAAAAUUUAA